rnacentral:lncRNA from 1 species
AGCAAACUCAGAGCUCAUCCAUAAGUGCCAACGCCACUGCUUCUUUCUGGAAGCUUCCACUCCGGCCCGGGGUCCGGCCCCAGCCACGCUGUCCUAGCCCAGAGAACAGGUUCAAGAACGGUGGUGCCCAGCCCCAGCGGUGCCCUUCUCCGUCCCUGUAGCUCGCUGGGCUCUUGAGCCCCUACCCACUAAGCCAAAAAUUCGGGAACCGGGAGCCAAACCCCUUGGCCUCUGAGA